AUAGAAAUUUUCAACAUAAGGUUUUAGGGUUUUAGAUAUGACGGCAUAAAUUAUACGGACAUAAUUUUUUUAAUAG
rnacentral:sRNA from 1 species